GGCCAUUUGUCCGAGUGGUUAAGGAGAUGGACUUGAAAUCCAUUACGAAAUUCGUGCGUAGGUUCAAAUCCUGCAAUGGUCG